UGAGCUCCCAGUGAGGAUGCCCGGAUGUAUUUGCCUCUCUGCGUUGGUAGCAGGUCAAGUAACUCAUGUCUCCUGGGUUCAGAAAGAAGGAUAAACCCACCAAGACCUAUGAAAACUCCCAGAGGAGACCUAGGAAGGAUGAGAAAAAUUCAAGAGAAGAAGAAGAAGAUUGGCAGAUGGGCCUUUGUCUUCUUCUGGGUCCUGGCAGUUGGUGUCGGUCUCCCUUCUUCAUGUGUGUGUUGGGGACGGAGAGAAUGAACGUGUGUGUCUGGGGUGGGGGCAGGGGGGUGAUUAUAAACUGUUUAUUUUCAAACCAGUCUUUUUUUACUUCUUUUUAUUUUUAUUUUAUUAUAA
rnacentral:lncRNA from 10 species